AAGAAAGAAGCAUAAGUGGUUUAGUAUGCAAUUGGCUUGAAACCAACGAGUGAGGGUUCGACUCCUU
rnacentral:tRNA from 1 species